GAUACAAGCGCCAAAAGUCCAAAUGGUUUUUGAACUUGUUCAAAAAGCCAUUUGACUUUGGGCGUCAAACAAUACGAGCAUGUAGCAAUUUACGCAGUAAAAUUAGCGGAAUGCGAGUAUUGUAGAAUUGCGGGAGUUGCUGGAAGCAACGGAGCAAUUCGUUGUAUC
rnacentral:sRNA from 1 species